GUAUCUUGCUGGGGAAGUCAGUUAAGGUUUUUCCUAAUUUAACCAUAUAAAAGAGAGGCACCUGGUUUAACUUACCAUCCCAUCUCCCUCUUCUUUCAGGAAAAGAAAGAGAAGUCAGUGCUCUGGGUGGAAUGACACGCUCCUUGGUAGUGCCUCCUCCACCACCAGGGAGGCAAAGAAAAGCCAAAAAAGUCCAAAGCAUUAACAACUUAGAAGCUAUUUUUCAUGUUGCCAACUUAGAUGCUAUUUUUCAUGCUGCUAUCAUUACCUCAAGUUUGAUGCUACAGUGAAAGGCAAAUCUGGUUCUGGUAAUGGAGGCCCUAUGCACAAGGUGGAAUACAAUUACUGCCCUACUAGAAAGCAGGAAGAAUGGAUGUAACGGCCAGGAUGACUCCUAGAAAAAAACCAAACCCAAACCAAACAAUAAAAACCUGUUUUGAUACA
rnacentral:lncRNA from 1 species